rnacentral:rRNA from 1 species
UACGUAGGGGGCUAGCGUUGUCCGGAAUCAUUGGGCGUAAAGAGCGUGUAGGCGGCCCGGUAAGUCCGCUGUGAAAGUCGGGGGCUCAACCCUCGAAUGCCGGUGGAUACUGUCGGGCUAGAGUCCGGAAGAGGCGAGUGGAAUUCCUGGUGUAGCGGUGAAAUGCGCAGAUAUCAGGAGGAACACCAAUGGCGAAGGCAGCUCGCUGGGACGGUACUGACGCUGAGACGCGAAAGCGUGGGGAGCAAACAGG